AGCGAACGCUGGCGGCAGGCUUAACACAUGCAAGUCGAACGCAUCACUCCGGUGGUGAGUGGCAGACGGGUGGGUAACACGUGGGAACGUACCCUUCGAUCUGGGCUAACUUCGGGAAACUGGAGCUAAUACCGGAUACGCCCUCUUGGGGAAAGGUUUACUGUCGAAGGAUCGGCUCUAGUCUGAUUCGCUAGUUGGUGGGGUAACGGCCUACCAAGGCGACGAUCAGUAGCUGGUCUGAGAGGAUGAUCAGCCACACUGGGACUGAGACACGGCCCAGACUCCGACGGGGGGCAGCAGUGGGGAAUAUUGGACAAUGGGCGCAAGCCUGGUCCAGCCGUGCCGCGUGAGUGAUGAAGGCCUUAGGGUUGUAAAGCUCUUUUGUCCGGGACGAUAAUGACGGUACCGGAAGAAUAAGCCCCGGCUAACUUCGUG
rnacentral:rRNA from 1 species